rnacentral:rRNA from 1 species
UACGUAGGGUGCGAGCGUUGCCCGGAUUUAUUGGGCGUAAAGGGCGCGUAGGCGGCUCGGCACGUCCGUUGUGAAAUCGCCCGGCUCAACUGGGCGGGGUCGGCGGAUACGGCCGAGCUUGAGCAAGCUAGGGGGUAAUGGAAUUCCCGGUGUAGCGGUGAAAUGCGUAGAUAUCGGGAAGAACACCAGUGGCGAAAGCGCUCUACUGGGCCAUAACUGACACUGAGGGACGAAAGCUAGGGGAGCGAAAGGG